AUAUAUAUACAAAUUUAAAUCAUGUGUAAAGUAAAGCAAUGUGAAGAAUAAAGAAAUGAAUUGACACACAAAGGAAAAAUUUAACUGAAAAAAAUGAAAUGAAGUAAGAAAAAGCUACCCAUAAUAAUGAAGCCGAAUAUGUCAUGCUACGCAAUAUAUAAAGGUCUGCCCCCCCUUCUGAGUGAUACUACCAAACUAGUCAGAGGGGAGACAGGAUUCAUGCAUGACGGCUUGCUUGUGUUUAAACAUAUGAGGAGAACUUAACAAUUGAGCAAAGUAGUUGGAACUCUUAUCUUCGCACACGUUAACAGAGAGGGCGCUACAUGCUGGUGUAGGUUGUUUCCAUAGGAGAAGAACUCCUCUGUGAGCAAUCAAAGACAUAAAUGAAAUUAGAUUCAGGGUUUCCCUCUAAGAUCUUUUUUAUACCAGCUCUCCAUCUUCCUUUCAGUCCCCAUGUUUCCUCACAAUGUGUCUGUCCCCUCGAUGAACCACUUCUGUUUAAUAUGAGUUCACACAAGUGCAUUUGUGUGUGUGUGUGUGUGUGUGUGUGUGUGUGUGUCAUGUGUAUACAUGUGUAUGCAGCUGAGGUUACUGCUUCAGCUCAGCUGCUUUACAAAGUUGCUUUACUUCAAACAUCCAUCAGUGUGCUGACUGAGAAAUACCAGUAUCUAAAGUUUGGAGAUUUCAUUUCUCAGUUAAAGUGGAAAAAGGGGACGUUGAAAGUUACUCUAGUAGUCUACAUUUAUUCAAUUAUUCCCACAUUAUUUAUCUUAGCCUUAAAGUAUCUUAUAUAUUGCCAUAUAAGUGUAUUAUUAUUGUAAUUAUUAAAGUUUUGACUAUCUGUGGAUAUAUUUGUCUCUUUCAUGUCUGUCAUGGCAUUAAAACAACUAUUUCUACUCCCUGUUUUGUCCAACAAAUGAUGCGUUUGCAGUCUUAUGAAAUACGACUUGGAUAUAAAGUCAUCUUAUCUGCUAGUAAAGUGUCCAUAGUGGGUUACACCUUCAAGCAUGUGUGUUCUGAAUAUUAUACUGAUGCCAAAAUGUUUUUUUAAUAAGGACUGAUGAUUUUUUCUUUUACUAAUAAUAAGUAGCUUUCAAUUAAAAUGUUUAAAACCGCAGUCUGCAGCAUCCCAAUGCAGUCUUAGUAAACACUGUUGCUGCAUUACUGUGUCCAUUUAUGAAUAAAUAAGACCCUGUACGCCUGAACUUUGCUUCAUCCAAGCCAUAAUUAUGUUUAAUUACAAGUGCAAAUAACUUUUGCGAGUUUAAUAAUGAAUGUCUAUUUUAGACAUCCAAAAAUUUCAAACGGGAGGUUGAAAUACUCAAUUCAAGCAAAACUAUUUCAUUUGGAAACAGGCAGUAAAGAUGGAUGUGUUCAUGUGUUUGGAGAAAUGCAUGUAUUUCCCUUCAUCGACUAUUUAAUGUUGUUUGGCUCUCCUUCACUAUAGCUGUCCCUCUUCUUGUUGACCAACUGUAAACAGUGAUCUGAGAAUAAAGAAAAUGCCACUCAGUUCCCAACAAACACACACAGGCAGCUACAUCGUCUUCCAACAAGUGCUCAACACAAAGCUGCAGUCAAAGAGAGAGACAUUAUGGAAUAAUUAUGAUUAUAUGGAUGUACAUGCUGACUACUGUACUUGAAGUGUAAUGUGUCUUGAAUCAAUACUCGUUCACACUGCAGUGUAACGGAGAUCAAUGGAUUCUUAUUAAGGAUGAAAUAAUUCCAAUGCCGUCUCUGUAUAGUGUUUGCAAAAAGCCUUCGUCAUUACGUAAACUACAAAGCCAGAUGCUGUCGAUGUGCAUUCAUACGCUGUUCGAUAUCAUUUACUACAUUAUUAGAAAUAUGAAGUACUGAUAACACCCUGGCCCACUUUUUUAUUAUUCCAGACGCUUUUUCUUCAAUGUGGCCAUGUUUCUUCUUUUAUAUAUUCAAUAUAUUUUUAUAUAUUAGUAAAUAGUUUAUUAUGUUGUGUACCUUUCAGGAACUGAUUGGUGAAAGCUGUUUUCUGGCUUCACAUAUGUUGCAUCCAAAUAACGGACCAUGUGAUGCAUCUGAUUAGUAUUUCCAUUAACUGAAAAUGACUUUAUCCAAUGUCCAGACAGCAGAAGAUGUCUGACACGCGACACAAAUGAAACCAAGUCCUAAAUAAUUCAUGAAAUGAAUGUAAUGCCACAAUGGCGUUUUAUUGACCUUCACUGCGUCCGUCAUUAAUAUUUCAUCAGUGCCUAUAGACUUGGUAAUGCAUGUCAGCUUACAUGAUAUCACAGAUGGAAGAAUAUAAAAUAAAUAGUGUUUGCUGACAGAUGUUCCAUCAUUUAACUGAUCGAAAGGAAUAUGAGUGUGAACACCAUGAAGCUAAAGUGCAUGUGUACUUUGACGGGAGUCUGUGAGUGUUGGUUGGCUGCUGGACAAAGUGGCUUCGUGGCGUCAACAUUUCAACGUGCAUUUUGUUCUGCAUGACCUUUCGAUUGUUUGAGAGGACUUAUUUUAACAGCUGGGAUACAUCAACAAAAAUCAAAUUACAUUUUUCAAGUAUUAGUUAACAUUAUUUUAAUUGUGAGUUUGUACAUUUCUUGAAGCACAUCCACAAAAAGUGAAAAAGUGAAAGUGAAUUGUACUAAUAAUUUGACAUUAUAGACUAUUUCAAAAAAAGCUACAGCCAUCCAUGCAUCGUUGACAUGUUACAUGUGCAUGGAAUAAUCCUUUUAAUAAAAAUAUUUAAUGUUUCUUUGUUAUUCCGAUUGCUGGGAGUCUGUUUCGAUUUGUUUAUGAUUCUACAUUUACAAGCUGUGUCGUGACUUGCCGAAGUUGAUCUUUGUUUUUGGAUUUGUGGUGUUCGCAUUUGUCCUUGAAUACCAUAAAAACAUAAAUAACAACGACAAUACCGUUCAGCCGUGUAUAUGGAAGGGAUAACUAUGGUCCAGUCUCAAUGAAUUUUAAGUGGGAUGAAAACGCCUGCAAUAAUUGUGUAGUGUGAACAAAGCCUUUCAAAGGACGCACACAUGAAUGCACCGGCCUUUAAACGAUUUAGAUGGAUCUACCUGCAUGCAAAUGGGCCAGGAAAUGUCUGCAUGUACACAGACCCGCACACACACAGACACACACACAGGCAGGAAAUGUUUUCUCUCAAAUUAUCUCCGGUUAAAUGCCUUCCACACACACAUAUACACACACAGCCAGAUGGGUUUUUAGGUCAUUCCCGUGCCUGAAGCAGAGCAGAGGGAAUGAUGUCAUCCCGACCUGUUACGAUGUAGUCUCCUGGCGUUCCUAAACAACCUGUUGACUGACCUUUGUAGUGAAUGCCUGUAGAAUAGAGACAAACAGACAGGACGACUACAAGAGAGCUGGUGAUCGUGUCAAAUUUUGAAUCAUAUAUUAGUAUAUGGAUAAGAUGUUGUAGAUUUAGAGAUACAUAAUUGUUUUAGUGCAGCCAAAAUGAAUUCCCUGGAGCAUAGCGUGGUGAGUAGAUGACCCCUGGAUGACCAGUCGAUAACAAAACUUUCCUAGGGUUUCCCAGAAAUAUUACAUUGCAGGUUUUUAACCUUGAAAAUG
ensembl:lncRNA